GUCCACGCAGUAAACGAUGAAUACUAGCUGUAUGCGAUAUACUGUAUGUGGCAAAGCGAAAGCGUUAAGUAUUCCACCUGGGGAGUACGUUCGCAAGAAUGAAACUCAAAGGAAUUGACGGGGGCCCGCACAAGCGGAGGAACAUGUGGUUUAAUUCGAUGAUACGCGAGGAACCUUACCCGGGCUUGAAAUGCAUCUGACCGGAGUGGAAACACUCUUUCUAGCAAUAGCAGAUGUGUAGGUGCUGCAUGGUUGUCGU
rnacentral:rRNA from 1 species